rnacentral:snoRNA from 1 species
UCAUCUGAUGAAACUGCACUGGGCACCGAUACUUCGUGAGCCGAUAUGCAAAUUUGUGACAGGCCUAGAAAACCUCGUCCACUGAUA